rnacentral:piRNA from 1 species
UGGGUAUAAGGAGCUCUUGGAAGGAUGC